UACGGAGGGGGCUAGCGUUGUGCGGAAGUACUGGGCGUAAAGGGCACGUAGGCGGCUUUGCAAGUUAGAGGUGAAAGCCCGGGGCUCAACUCCGGAAUUGCCUUUAAAACUGCAUCGCUAGAAUUGUGGAGAGGUAAGUGGAAUUCCGAGUGUAGAGGUGAAAUUCGUAGAUAUUCGCAAGAACACCAGUGGCGAAGGCGGCUCACUGGCCCGGUACUGACGCUGAGGUGCGAAAGCGUGGGGAGCAAACAGG
rnacentral:rRNA from 1 species